GGGUGAAGUAUGGAAAAAUUGGGUUACCUGAUACAGAAAUAACAGCUAGGGACAUAAUGAUUGCAACUGGAUCUGUUCCUUUUGUUCCUAAUGGCAUUGAAGUUGAUGGGAAAACUGUAUUUACUAGUGAUCAUGCUCUCAAAUUAGAGUGGGUUCCAGAAUGGUUAGCAAUUGUUGGAAGUGGUUACAUAGGACUUGAGUUCAGUGAUGUGUACACAGCCCUUGGAAGUGAGGUCACUUUCAUUGAAGCUUUGGAUCAGCUUAUGCCGGGUUUUGAUCCUGAGAUAGGGAAGUUGGCCCAGAGAAUUCUCGUGAACCCCAGGAAAAUUGAUUAUCAUACUGGUGUAUUUGCAAAGAAGAUCACACCAGCAAAG
rnacentral:misc_RNA from 1 species